CCCUUAGAUGUUCUGGGCCGCACGCGCGCUACACUGACGAAGUCAGCGAGCAUGUCCUACGCCGACAGGUGCGGGGAAUCUUGUCAAACUUCGUCGUGAUGGGGAUUGAUUUUUGAAAUUCUUGAUCAUAAACGAGGAAUUCCUAGUAAGCGCAAGUCAGCAGCUUGCGUUGAUUACGUCCCUGCCCUUUGUACACACCGCCCGUCGCUCCUACCGAUUGAGCGAUCCGGUAAAUGUUUUGGAUUGGUGCCGGGGCGGCUAGCUGCCGGUCGCUACGAAAUUUUGUGAACCUUAUCGCUUAGAGGAAGGAAAAGUCGUAACA
rnacentral:rRNA from 1 species